rnacentral:snRNA from 1 species
AUGUUUAUCUGGCGGGGGUGAGAUCAUGAUCAUGGAAUUGGUUUCCCGGGCAGUAGGGAUGGCAGGACGAGGCGUAUCCAUUGCCCUCCGGAUGUGCUGACCCCUGCUAAUUCAGCCAAUGGGGGGAGACUCGACUGCAUAUUUCGUGAGAAGGGGGGAGUGGUGUACCCGCAUCUCCCCC